rnacentral:rRNA from 1 species
GAUGAACGCUGGCGGCGUGCCUAACACAUGCAAGUCGAACGGGGACUAUUUGGAGAUGAUUUCGGUCUGAUCCUUAUAGUUUAGUGGCGGACGGGUGAGUAACGCGUGGACAACCUGCCUUUCACAGGGGGAUAGCAGCUGGAAACGGCUGGUAAUACCGCAUACGCUCGUGUCACCGCAUGGUGAUAUGAGGAAAGAUUUAUCGGUGAAAGAUGGAUCCGCGUCUGAUUAGCCAGUUGGCGGGUAAUGGCCUACCAAGGCGACGACGGGUAGCCGGCCUGAGAGGGUGACCGGCCACACUGGGACUGAGACACGGCCCAG